rnacentral:rRNA from 1 species
UACGGAGGGUGCGAGCGUUGUCCGGAAUCAUUGGGCGUAAAGGGCGCGUAGGUGGCCCGGUCAGUCCGUGGUGAAAGCGCGGGGCUCAACCCUGCGUCGGCCAUGGAUACUGCCGCGGCUCGAGCACUGUAGAGGCAGGCGGAAUUCCACGUGUAGCAGUGAAAUGCGUAGAGAUGUGGAGGAACACCGAUGGCGAAGGCAGCCCUGGU